rnacentral:rRNA from 1 species
CGGGGUGCAGCAGGCGCGAAAACUUUACAAUGCGGGAAACCGUGAUAAGGGGACACCGAGUGCCAGCAUCAUAUGCUGGCUGUCCAGGUGUGUAAAAUACACCUGUCAGCAAGGGCCGGGCAAGACCGGUGCCAGCCGCCGCGGUAACACCGGCGGCCCGAGUGGUGAUCGUGAUUAUUGGGUCUAAAGGGUCCGUAGCCGGUUUGGUCAGUCCUCCGGGAAAUCUGACGGCUCAACCGUUAGGCUUUCGGGGGAUACUGCCAGGCCUGGAACCGGGAGAGGUAAGAGGUACUACAGGGGUAGGAGUGAAAUCUUGUAAUCCCUGUGAGACCACCUGUGGCGAAGGCGUCUUACCAGAACGGGUUCGACGGUGAGGGACGAAAGCUGGGGGCACGAACCGGAUUAGAUACCCGGGUAGUCCCAGCCGUAAACGAUGCUCGCUAGGUGUCAGGCAUGGCGCGACCGUGUCUGGUGCCGCAGGGAAGCCGUGAAGCGAGCCACCUGGGAAGUACGGCCGCAAGGCUGAAACUUAAAGGAAUUGGCGGGGGAGCAC